rnacentral:rRNA from 1 species
AUACGGAGGGUGCAAGCGUUGUUCGGAAUUAUUGGGCGUAAAGAGCAUGUAGGCGGACUGUUAAGUCUGGUGUGAAAGCCCGGGGCUCAACCCCGGAAGUGCAUUGGAUACUGGCAGUCUUGAGUAUGGGAGAGGAAAGUGGAAUUCCGAGUGUAGGAGUGAAAUCCGUAGAUAUUCGGAGGGACACCAGUGGCGAAGGCGGCUUUCUGGACCAAUACCGACGCUGAGAUGCGAAAGCGUGGGGAGCAAACAGGAUUAGAAACCCUUGUAGUCC